rnacentral:rRNA from 1 species
UACGUAGGGUGCGAGCGUUAAUCGGAAUUACUGGGCGUAAAGCGUGCGCAGGCGGUUUUGUAAGCCAGAUGUGAAAUCCCCGGGCUUAACCUGGGAAUGGCAUUUGGGACUGCAAGGCUGGAGUGCGGCAGAGGAGACUGGAAUUCCUGGUGUAGCAGUGAAAUGCGUAGAUAUCAGGAGGAACACCGAUGGCGAAGGCAGGUCUCUGAGCUGACACUGACGCUCAUGCACGAAAGCGUGGGGAGCAAACAGG